rnacentral:lncRNA from 1 species
CAGGUACAGGUGCAGAGGACAUGCGCUGGCCCUUGGCGUGAGGCGUACGGGGCUGUGCUGGUGCAAGUACGGAGGCUGUGUGAGAGGGUACGAAGGUGGCUGACGUGGGGGCUGGGGUUCGGCUACCUGGUUGCGGUGCAAGCAGAAGGAGAACCCUAGGGUUCGAAAAUUUCUGGGCCAUUUGGGCCAAUGUGAUUUUGGGUCCCGGGUUAAUUUGGGGAUUGGGUAUUGGUUGUGGGGCAUUAGUUAUUGGGUCUAGGUAUUAGUGUUUUAAUUUGGGUCAAAGCCUGUUAAUAGACUGUUAUAAGGUUUAAGUUCUGGUCUUGUAAUUGGGCUUUGAUUGGUUAUUGGCCCGUGGACUAUUGUAAUUAUUUGGACUUUGGACUGUUAAUAUUUAUAUU